UUUCUUUCUUUCUUUCUUUCUUUCUUUCUUUCUGGAUGGAUGACACUCAUAUUGCAACGGUCAGACGGGCGGGACCGGAUGUCCCCAGGUUUGCAUUUUUCAAAUUUCAGUUAAGAUUCGCGCUAUACAAGCCCGGGAAGAAGAGGGCACAUUCAAAGGACAGAAUGAAAAACACCCGAGUGCCGAAGAUAAUAUUUGCGUCCAAAGACCCUUCUCAAAGAUAACGUCUGGUCUUGUUGGUCUUUGGUGGAUCGCAUAGACGCAGACCGCAACAGUGAGAUAGACGAUCAGACAUUCUGUCCGCGUAACAACACGACGACAGUGGGCAAAACGCGAAAGGUGCACGUAUCUCAUGAAAAAGGGCUUCACAUUUUGUGACUAGAAACUCAUCAACAUGCGUGACAGAACAUCAUCUAAAAGGCCGCCUGCAGCCUUGAAGCGAAGGAACAGCAUCGACGGACACUGGGUCUGCUUCAAGUGCCCACACAACCAGCCGUUGGUUACGCCAGCAUCUGCACAAGUGAUAUCAGGCUAUGGCAUCCCUUCAGGACUUGUCUGCACCACUGAAGAUGCAUUAUGGGUCCAUCAAAAAAUAUGAUGGCACCAUCCUUGGUACUGAAAAUACAAAGAAUGCAGAGAGAAAGUGAAUAGGAAAAAAAAGUGUAAUUGCACAUCAACAGAGUCAUUAAAGAAUUCACACAGAA